rnacentral:rRNA from 1 species
GAUGAACGCUGGCGGCGUGCCUAAUACAUGCAAGUCGAGCGAACAGAUGAGGAUCUUGCUCCUCUGACGUUAGCGGCGGACGGGUGAGUAACACGUGGAUAACCUACCUAUAAGACUGGGAUAACUUCGGGAAACCGGAGCUAAUACCGGAUAAUAUAUUUAACCGCAUGGUUCAAUAGUGAAAGACGGUUUUGCUGUCACUUAUAGAUGGAUCCGCGCCGCAUUAGCUAGUUGGUAAGGUAACGGCUUACCAAGGCAACGAUGAGUAGCCGACCUGAGAGGGUGAUCGGCCACACUGGAACUGAGACACGGUCCAGACUCCUACGGGAGGCAGCAGUAGGGAAUCUUCCGCAAUGGGCGAAAGCCUGACGGAGCAACGCCGCGUGAGUGAUGAAGGUCUUCGGAUCGUAAAACUCUGUUAUUAGGGAAGAACAAAUGUGUAAGUAACUAUGCACGUCUUGACGGUACCUAAUCAGAAAGCCACGGCUAACUACGUG